CCAUAUCAAUUGCUCAGCUGCGUGCUUGGUUUUCCUGCUAACUCAACAUUCCCAUGAUAUUAUAUAAUGUCAUGCCGGUAGUUAGUUAGCAUUCAAAGUCUGCUUUUUCUCGGAAGCAUGCCCUUUCCGUGCAUCUUGGCUGUGAAAGCAAAGGCGAAAUACGAAAGUCUCGACUACUCGCUUCUUCCUCUCCUGUUUUCUAUUGUUAUUGUUGCUGUCUGCCUCUGCCGAGGGCCUCCGCUUCAGGAAAUGGCCUACCAUUGACAAUGGUUUUUAUAUAAAUAACAGAGAGCUCUCUCCUCUUAAUCUCUCCAAUUCUUAAGAGUCUCCUAAUAUAUUCUCUUUACACCCGAUGAAUAGUAGCUAAGAUUCUCCAUUCAUAUAUGCAAAUGCAGC
rnacentral:sRNA from 2 species